rnacentral:rRNA from 1 species
GAGUUUGAUCAUGGCUCAGGAUGAACGCUGGCGGCGUGCUUAACACAUGCAAGUCGAACGAACCUUCGGGUUAGUGGCGGACGGGUGAGUAACGCGUGAGAAUCUGCCCUCAGGAGGGGGAUAACGGUUGGAAACGACCGCUAAUACCCCAUAUGCCGCGAGGUGAAAUGAAUUUCGCCUGAGGAUGAGCUCGCGUCUGAUUAGCUAGUUGGUGGGGUAAAGGCUUACCAAGGCAUCGAUCAGUAGCUGGUCUGAGAGGAUGAUCAGCCACACUGGGACUGAGACACGGCCCAGACUCCUACGGGAGGCAGCAGUGGGGAAUUUUCCGCAAUGGGCGAAAGCCUGACGGAGCAACGCCGCGUGAGGGAUGAAGGCCUCUGGGCUGUAAACCUCUUUUAUCAAGGAAGAAGAUCUGACGGUACUUGAUGAAUAAGCCACGGCUAAUUCCGUGCCAGCAGCCGCGGUAAUACGGGAGUGGCAAGCGUUAUCCGGAAUUAUUGGGCGUAAAGCGUCCGCAGGCGGCCCUUCAAGU